AGAGUUUGAUCCUGGCUCAGAAUCAACGCUGGCGGCGUGCCUCAGACAUGCAAGUCGAACGCGCAAACCUCUUUCGGGAGGUGAGUAGAGUGGCGCACGGGUGAGUAACACGUAGGUUAUCUACCUCUGAGUGGGGAAUAACAUCGGGAAACCGAUGCUAAUACCGCAUAACACCGAAAGGUCAAAGCUUUAUGUGCUUGGAGAGGAGCCUGCGGCAGAUUAGCUAGUUGGUAAGGUAAUGGCUUACCAAGGCGACGAUCUGUAUCCGGUCUAAGAGGACGGUCGGACACACUGACACUGAAUAACGGGUCAGACUCCUACGGGAGGCAGCAGUCGGGAAUUUUGGGCAAUGGGCGAAAGCCUGACCCAGCAACGCCGCGUGAAGGAUGAAGUCCCUCGGGAUGUAAACUUCGAAAGAAUAGGAAGAAUAAAUGACGGUACUAUUUUUAAGCCCCGGCUAACUCCGUGCCAGCCGCCGCGGUAAUUC
rnacentral:rRNA from 1 species